UAGACUGUUCUGGAAUUGAAGAUGCGUUUGGUUGCUCCUCUUCCCUUCGUUCCGUUGAAUGUUGUUCUGGUUCUUUCUGAUUUUCCUCAACUUCAGUAACCACAGGUUCACCUUUUACUGUUUCUGUAGGCUCAACUUCAGUAGCCACAGGUUCUUCUUUUACCGUUUCUGUAGCUUGAACUUCAGUAGCCACAGGUUCUUCUUUUACCAUUUCUCUAGGAUCAACUUCAGUAACCACAGGUUUGACUUUUACUGAUUCUGUCAGAUCAACUUCAGUAACCAGGGGUUCUUUUACUGUUUUUGUAAUUUCAACUUCUGUAGCCACAGCUUCUUCUUUUACUGUCUCUGUAGGAUCAACUUCAGUAACUAUAGGUUCGUCUUUUACCGUUUCUGUUGCCUCGAAUUCAGUAGCUGCAGGUUCAUCUUUUACCAUUUCUGUAGGCUCAACUACAGUUGUCACAGGUUCUUCUUUUACGGUUUCUGUAGCUUCAACUUCAGUAGCCACAGAUUCUUCUUUUACUGUUUCUGUAGCUUCAACUUCAGUAGCCACUGGUUCUUCUUUUACUGUUUCUGUAGCUUCAACUUCAGUAGCCACUGGUUCUUCUUUUACUGUUUCUGUAGCUUCAACUUCAGUAGCUGCAGGUUCGUCUUUUACCGUUUCUGUAGCCUCAACUUCAGUUGCCACAGGUUCUUCUUUUACCGUUUCUGUAGGCUCAACUUCAGUAGCCACGGGUUCUUCUUUUACUGUUUCUGUAGCUUCAGCUUCAGUAGCUAGAGGUUCUUCUUUUACCGUUUCUGUAGGAUCAACUUCAGUAACCACAGGUUCGUCUUUUACGGUUUCUGUAACCUUAACUUCAGUAGCUGCAGGUUCUUCUUUUACUGUUUCCGUAGCCUCAACUUCAGUAGCCACAAGUUCUUCUUUUAGUGUUUCUGUAGCCUCAACUUCAGUAACCACGGGUUCUUCUUUUACUAUCUCUGCA
rnacentral:lncRNA from 1 species